AGAUUUCGCAUCAAAUUCAUAGGAAAUCGUGUCAUUUUUUUGGCUUGGAACAGAAUGGGAAUAUAGAGAAUGGAAUUAACCUAAGGUUGACCAGCUCUAGAAAUGGUGCCUGGGUCCAUCUCAUAAGAAAUCUUUGUGUUUCUCUCAGAUGAUUUUAGUCAGAUGUUCAAAGCGUGAGAAAGACAUGAUCCUGCUGGCUUCACAGAAGUAAACUGUCAUGUUGUGAACGGGAGGCCUCCAGGAGCUCAGCCCGACCUCCAGCUGACAGCCAGCAAGAAAGCAGGGUCUGUGUGCUGCACCAGGAGGAGCUGAAUUCUGUAACAGCCGGAAGGAGCUGGAAGAGAACCCUGAGCUGCAGAGAAGCCAGCCCAGCAGACACCUGAUUGCAGCGCUGUGAGAGGCUGACA